rnacentral:rRNA from 1 species
GAUGAACGCUGGCGGCGCGCCUAAUACAUGCAAGUCGAGCGAACAGACGAGGAGCUUGCUCCUCUGACGUUAGCGGCGGACGGGUGAGUAACACGUGGAUAACCUACCUAUAAGACUGGGAUAACUUCGGGAAACCGGAGCUAAUACCGGAUAAUAUAUUGAACCGCAUGGUUCAAUAGUGAAAGACGGUUUUGCUGUCACUUAUAGAUGGAUCCGCGCCGCAUUAGCUAGUUGGUAAGGUAACGGCUUACCAAGGCGACGAUGCGUAGCCGACCUGAGAGGGUGAUCGGCCACACUGGAACUGAGACACGGUCCAGACUCCUACGGGAGGCAGCAGUAGGGAAUCUUCCGCAAUGGGCGAAAGCUUGACGGAGCAACGCCGCGUGAGUGAUGAAGGUCUUCGGAUCGUAAAACUCUGUUAUUAGGGAAGAACAAAUGUGUAAGUAACUAUGCACGUCUUGACGGUACCUAAUCAGAAAGCCACGGCUAACUACGUG